UUGUUAUUUUAUUUUCACCUACGUGACUUUACCCAAUAGAACCAAAGAGUAUUUACCGAAAGAACCAAAGAGUAUGGAUUCCUGCAGUCACAAAAGCUUCAAAUGAAGAUUGAGUAAUAGGGUUUUAAAAACGCAAAUUAAAUGGGAGUAUCCACGUGGACGGAUAGGAUGGCAACAACAUUCGUUCUAGAUUUUAAGUUUUCGUGACUGCAAGGAUCCAUACUCUUUGAUUCUUUCGGUAAAGUCACGUAGGUAAAAAAAUAAAUUAAAUUUUACAAAAAUGAAAACAUACUAAAUUCAAUCACGACGUUUCGGAGGCGACACAAGCUUCCUUCAUCAGGUGUAAGUAGCACGGCAAAAUUACUGUAGAGAGAGAGCUAUUUGUGAUGAGAGAUUAAUAACAACAUUCGCUCUUCGACAAGUUGGACGGAACUCCAGGAUUGGAAAGGAAUACAAAGGCUGUGCAAGAACAAGCCGAUGGAGGAACUAGCCUCGCACACAGGUGGUCAUGGGUUCGAUCCCGACCCUGACACCUGCCCUUUGUGUGCGUGUGUCUCUCUCCCUGUGCGCUGCGUGAAUUUUCCUCCGGGUUCCUCCGGUUUUCCCCUUCCACAUUUAGAAAUGUGCGUUUAAGAAUAUUUUGCUUGCGAUAAAUGUCCGCAUGAGCUACUUCGUUGUCGCUUCCGAAGAAUAGCUAUAUAGCUCAGUGGGACUUUCCUGAUAAAAAAAUAGUUUAAUGGUUAAUGCAUGUAUUGUCCUUAUUGUUGUAUUGGGUAAGCCGACAGUGUCCUCGGGGAGGUCUUAUAACGAGGGAGCGCCCGCACCCGAAUCUGCGUUAUAACCGAGGAGCACAGUUUGCAAAAGUGUUUUGCCCAGACAAUUACCAUGCUUUCGCCAUCGUACCCCUAAAUAUAUAUUGUCCCGAGGAGACAUAAGCAUGUAGGAAAGUGUCACGUAAUCCACGCAUAUUAAUAAAAAAACACAUGUGAUUGAUUGAGACAUUUCAUAGUCUGAAAUUUGCUAUUUUAGAUUUUCAGGGUCAAUUUGAAUAUCACGAUGCAGCAGUUUGAUGCUGGAACUGCUGGAUUCAACAUCUUCCAGAAUCGCAGCGAUUCAACAUCGAGCAAGGCAUCGACACCAUCCUCAUCCACAGUGAAGGAAGACAGCACGGAGGAAAAACGCAGGAGAAAACUCCAACCUGAAUAUUAAAAAGCGGAAAUCACAGUAACGGGCCGGGAGAUUGCCUCAAUAAAAAAAUAAAUAUGUAAAACAGGAUCAAUCACAGUACACGCACUUGUGGGCUCUGUCUUGUAUACGGUCUAUUUUACUAAGACGGAUGCUCUCCGCUUAACCGUCCCGCUGCCUCCCCGGCUGUCAGGUGCUUCAGGUGGACAAGCCUCUGAAGCCUCCGAAGGAACCGGAGGGCGCGGGGGUCAAGUGCGGCUGAACGGAGCGCUGCUGCGGAGAGCAGGCAAGCCCAGCGCUUGCCAAGCACACCUUGUGUGGUCAAGCCAAACGUGCGAGCAACGUCGAUAGUCUCGCACUCCUGCAGUGGCGGAUCCAAGGGUAGGGAAACGCGGGGGAUGUAUGUACGUACGUAUGUUUAACUUCUAUCAUAUUGUACGGGAUAGCCUCCCCCUUGAGACCCCACAAUUGGAUUUUUAUAUUUACCACAAGCAACACAUUUAAUAUUCUUAGAUCUUUCGGUAUUAAUAAAAAAAUAUUUUGUUGUUUCCCUUCAACGUGACUUUACCGAAAGAGCUAAGAAUAUGAAUUACUGCAGUCACGAAAGCUUUAAAUCAAAACACAUUUGAUGUUUUGUUAACGUGCGGCUUGAAAUAUCGCCACUGCCGUCUCACCCCUUGGGAAGUUUCAGAGACCUUCCUCUGCAGCAUUGUGAAACUGCAACUCGAAUCCAAUGUUGAUGCACUGCUGGAUGUCACUCAGCUGGUCGGCAAGAACAUCCACGCAUCAGUACCCGAGUUCAAUAGACACCCGGCCGGUGUGCAGUGCGUGCAGUCCUCGGUGGAGAGAGGUGUCUGGGACCAGCUUCACACAGGACUGCCUGCGAAGCCACCUCCAUCACUGAGCAAAGUCUGCACAGAAAGAGCCACCAGGAGGUCGUGGCCAAACGCCCAAGGACACGCGGAGGCUGCAGCUGGUGCCGAGAGAUCAAGACGGCCCUCUCCACCGCAGCGCACGGCCCCAGGUGCAGCGACCACGACCACCACCACCACUUUGUGGACGCCUCGGACGAGCCGGAGCCCAACAGAAGACCGCUCGAGUGCAGCCGUCGCCCAGACCUCACGAGAAGUUUUGAACGACACCUCCGCACUCUUUUAAUCGUAAAUAGUACACGCUUAUUAAAUGUCUUAUUUAUUUAA